UGAGACAUGUAGUGCUUGGGUAAUUUCAGACAUCUUUAAAUCGUUUAAACGUAUUAAAAUAUGUAACGAAGGACAUUUUUUUCCCUUUGAUGAAUCGAAAUAACAUCUCGCAAGAUUUAAAAAGAUUAAAAUUCCAAUGAGGUCGACUUAUUGCCAAUGCAAGAAUUUAUUAGACCAAGGAGACUUUUCUCGGGAUGUUUCUCUACCUUUAAGAAAGCUGUGAGCAUGAAGAUGGACCAUGAUAUCGUAUUUGCAACCAUAAGAGAUUACAGCCUAACUGAAAGCUACAUGCAAAAAUCUAAUCGACUAAGUCUACACACAUCGCGAGGAAACUUGUAUUAAAGAUCCAGUACAUCUUCCCAAGUGAAAUUAAACUGCUGCAAACGGAUAUGAUUGAAGGAAAAAGAAGUUAAUCGGCCUUCAAUUCUUAAUAUGAUGCUCUGAACUGGAAAACGUAUCAACUAAUUUGCUGCUUUUUUCUUUGUAUUCCACGUAGCCCACAGAUGCCCAUCAAUAAAAUAAAAUUAUCAAUUCUUCUGUA